rnacentral:rRNA from 1 species
UUUCCGGUUGAUCCUGCCGGACCUGACUGCUAUCGGAUUGAUACUAAGCCAUGCGAGUCUUUGCAGUAAUGCAAGGCAUACGGCUCAGUAACACGUAGUCAACUUACCCUAUGGACGAGGAUAAUCUCAGGAAACUGAGCAUAAUACUCGAUAGAUCAUAAUGCCUGGAAUGGUUUAUGGUUGAAAUGAUUCGUCGCCAUAGGAUGGGACUGCGGCCUAUCAGCUUGUUGGUGAGGUAAUGGCCCACCAAGGCGAUUACAGGUACGGGCUCUGAGAGGAGAAGCCCGGAGAUGGGUACUGAGACAAGGACCCAGGCCCUAUGGGGCGCAGCAGGCGAGAAAACUUUGCAAUGUGCGAAAGCACGACAAGGUUAAUCCGAGUGAUUUCUGCUAAAGAAAUCUUUUGCAAGUCAUAAAACCACUAGUGAAUAAGGGGUGGGCAAGUUCUGGUGUCAGCCGCCGCGGUAAAACCAGCACCUCAAGCGGUCAGGAGGAUUAUUGGGCCUAAAGCAUCCGUAGCCGGCUCUGUAAGUUUUCGGUUAAAUCCAUGUGCUCAACGCAUGGGCUGCCGAAAAUACUGCAUAGCUAGGGAGUGGGAGAGGUAGACGGUACUCGGUAGGAAGGGGUAAAAUCCUUUGAUCUAUCGAUGACCACCUGUGGCGAAGGCGGUCUACCAGAACACGUUCGACGGUGAGGGAUGAAAGCUGGGGGAGCAAACCGGAUUAGAUACCCGGGUAGUCCCAGCUGUAAACGAUGCAGACUCGAUGAUGCAUUGGCAUAUAGCCAGUGCAGUGUCGCAGGGAAGCCGUUAAGUCUGCCGCCUGGGAAGUACGUACGCAAGUAUGAAACUUAAAGGAAUUGGCGGGGGAGCACCACAAGGGGUGAAGCCUGCGGUUCAAUUGGAGUCAACGCCGGA